rnacentral:sRNA from 1 species
AGCAGCCGCGGUAAUUCCAGCUCCAAUAGCGUAUAUUAAAGUUGUUGCAGUUAAAAAGCUCGUAGUUGAAUUUCGGAAUCAGUACGCUGGUCGUGCCUUCGGUAUGUACUGGUGUCACUGGUUUCUCCCUUCUGAAGAACCAUCAUGCCAUUUACUUGGUGUGGUGGGGAAUCAGGACUGUUACUUUGAAAAAAUUAGAGUGUUUAAAGCAGGCUCACGCUUGAAUACAUUAGCAUGGAAUAACGAAAUAGGACGUUUGAUUCUAUUUUGUUGGUUUCUAGGAUCGACGUAAUGAUUAAUAGGGAUAGUUGGGGGCAUUAGUAUUCAAUUGUCAGAGGUGAAAUUCUUGGAUUUAUUGAAGACUAACUACUGCGAAAGCAUUUGCCAAGGAUGUUUUCAUUAAUCAAGAACGAAAGUUAGGGGAUCGAAGACGAUCAGAUACCGUCGUAGUCUUAACCAUAAACUAUGCCGACUAGGGAUCGGAUGAUGUUAAAUUAAUGACUCAUUCGGCGCCUUAAC